UUAGACGAGUGAGUCGGUGACCCAGUAUCAUUCUUCAAAGUUUUGACAAUGUUGUUCAUAUUCUCUUUCAUCUUCUCUCUCCGAAACCAAAGAAACCAGACUCCUUCUCUUCAAUGCUUGUUAUAUCUUCAGGCUUGUUUUCUGCAGUGUUGAUUUUUUUUUUCUAUGCCGUUGAAGCUGGUUUUAGGAUUGUAGAUGGGUUUUUGGUCUCUAGAUUUCUGAACAAAAUAGAUGGGUUUCCUUUUUUUCCCUUUGCAUAUCGUGGUUUUCUGCAGCGUUGGGUUUUUUAACUUUCAGAUUCACAUAAAGAAGAAGAAGAUAUGAAUGCUCCCGACCGCUACGAACGUUUCGCCAUCCUUGAAGGUGUCGACGAGAGGGAUAUGAAAAUAAUCAACACCGCGUCCUUCAUCAUCGAGAGAGAGGAGCACACAGUCGGCAACAUUCUACGCAUGGAGCCACGAGGCUUUGGAUUUGUGAAGUACCGUUAUGCUGAAGUUGCUGUAGAUGCAAAACAACAACUGAACCAUACAAUAAUUGGUGGGUGCGAAAUAAGAAUUGUGUUUGCGGAGGAGAACAGAAAAAACGCCUCAAGAAAUGCGUCCCGUGUAAGCUUACUCAAGGUCGCCUACACCAGCUAGGCAUGACUCAAGAGAAAUCUCGGUGCGUUUCGAAUCCUCCUCCUCCUGAAUCUCGGCAUUUCUGGUAUGCUUCUUGUUCUUUGCUUGUUCUUUGCUCUGUAAGUGCAACGUGUGUAAAUUUUACUUCUUUCAUUCCUGGAGAAACUUCUCCUUCCUUUUCACAUUUACUUUUUCUUGGAGUGUCUCGGUGUGGCUAUGUUAGAAGAUGCUUUUGCGGCUCAAUGAGAAGGUUGGAGGACAGGACUGUCAGUUUUGGGUUGUUCUUAUCCAUUGGGUUCUGUGUUGUACUUAUCCAUUGCAAAUUUCUUCAAUCCGAGGCUCCGAAAGAAAAGUGUGCAUUGCAAUGUCUAUUGCAGUAUAUCAAUCCUAUUGUCAAGAAUUCACAGCAUCGCUUGAAAGGGAACCUUUUAUAUGCCAUAGAGAGUGUUUUAAAGCAUGUAGAAACAUGUCCGUUUCACAAAACACAAACCCAAUACUACAGCAACAUCGCUUGCCCACCAUUCGGGCGAUCAAAUUCUCUUGCCGGAUCCUCCUGUUUGAGCCAACCUCAACCUCCGAGACGGAGAUGUAACCAGUGGAGUGUUGGUCGAGUUCCUUGUGGGCGUCAUGAAGCUGGCCUUCGAGUUUCUGCCACUGUUUCUCUCUCGCCAUCAACCUUUCAAAUGAGCCCAAGUUUAGAAUUUAUUUGGAAUUUUUUGGCUCGCAUGGAAAGUUGGAGGUGUUGGGACAACUAAAGCUCGAGUUUAACCCAUUUUGCAUUGGUAAGAUUUUAGUUGUUUAUCAAUCCCAGCUUGGUUUAUUGAGAUCGCCCCGUAUGUAGUUAUUUUGGGUUCAUAUCUUGUAGUUUAAAUUGUAGAUCUAUCCCCUUAGUACAGGGGAUAUAAAGAAAUCAAAACCCAUUUCUAUAAAAUAGUUCAUGCUUAAAACCCAUUUGUUAUUUUGGGAUGGCUUAAAAUGGCUUUCGCAUCAAACUAAGCAUUGAAUCAAAUCUGCAAAUGGGUUUUAAGCAUGAAUUAAAACCCAAACUAAGCAUCAAAAUAAAUAAAGAAAUAAGGAUGCUUGAUUUGUUAAAACCAAUGGGUUUUAAUUCAUGCUUAACAAAUGGGUUCUAAUUGAUGCUUAUUUGUUAAUUCAUUCUUUGGGUUUUGGUUCAUGUUUUAAGCAUGUAGAAAUAGGUUUUAAUUAAUUCUUGAAACCCAUCCUGAUUCAUUCUUAAAACCCAUUUCUUUUAAAAAAUUAAAACAAGUUUCUAUUUACACAGUAUUUGAAAAAACUUAUUCUCUGUUGUUCUGCUUCAUUUGGUGCUAAGACAUAAGUUUCUACUACAAGAAAAUAGGUAAGAGUUUUCAUUUCCAUUUGGCACAUAUAUACAGGGGAUAAAACUAAAGAUUUUGUGCUCUGCCUCUCAUCUCUCCCCUUUUCUUCCAAUACUCUCACAACUUUGAUUCUAAUAUAUAUCAAUAAUCUUUAGUAGAUGUACUCUUGUUUCCAAGGAAUAUUCUUUGUUCCUGAGGCGGCUUUUUUGUUGUUCCCCUUCUUCUAUAUUUGUCAUAUCAGUCCUCCCUGACAUGAGGUGUGUUAAUGAUUGAUUGACUUAGUCUUCUUAUUCGGAUAAAAUAUAUUGUAUUCAAUUGCAACUUAAUGUUAUUUUUUUUUACGUUGUUCUUCUGGCCCUUUCAUAAGAGUUCUUGCAGUUAGGAGCUGCUGCAACUUAUCCAGAAGAUUCUAUGCCUUCUUUGGAUGAUUUGGCAGAUCGCAUCAUUGAAGUUCUCAACCAUUUUAGUUAAUAAUUAUUCUAAAAUGUUUUUGGUGAUUUAUUGAGACUUUUUGGUAUCCAAAACUCAUAUUUUAAAUUAUCAAGUAGCAUACUUACAAGCAUAUUUUACAUACAAGGUUGUAUCGGCCUGUUUCUAUUGGAGGGAAUUAGUACAACUGAUGUUGGAUUCAUAGUGUCAAUUUGUUUGGAAGCUUGCUUGUAUUUAAUGACUGUCCACAUCACUUUCAAUAACCCUUCUUAUUUGUUCUAAAAGAAGUUCCUUUAGUUUAUUAUAUUUUUUAUAUUUGUUUUCUUGAAUUUUGCAUGUGGGAUGCAUAUGAAUUGUUAUUUCUUCCCUCUUGCUGAUGUAUUCUUUUUUUUUUUUGGUGAUUAUAAACACAAUGGCAAGCACAUAUGGAGCAGUGGAAAUUUGGAUGAACGAGCAUGUUCGAAGACUUUGCACAAAUAACUGUGCUGAUCUUGUAUACGGCUUGCUUGAGACUUCUUCAAAGAAAAGAAGUGAGUAUUGGCUUAUAUGGCGGUUUGAAGGGAAAGCCACAGUUUCAGAUUUGAUGCAAAGUAAAGAGUUCCCCUAUAAUGUUGGUACUUCCUCUCAUCAGCCAUUUCAUAUGGUAGAAACUAUGAUUCUUAGAGAGAGAGGUCCAGGACAUGUGUAAGGGUAUUGAAAGGGUGAAUAGAAUCAUACAAACAAUCAUGAGACAUCUCUUAUUUGCAUUGGAUGGACUUCACUGGACUGGGAUUGUGCAUGGGCAGUGCACGUUGUGCUCUUCCUAGUAUUGAUCAAGUCUUGCACUGUUUACAUUUUC